GAAUGUGUGGGUGAUCUAGCUGCUAAAUCUGUCACCCGGGUAAUCAACCAGUGUUGAUUCGGCUGAUCUGGCUGGCUAGACUGGUGUCGUCUUCCUCCCCCACCAGUCCAUGUGCAUCUCUCCUGAAGCUGCUCCCUGGAUGGAAAAGGAGCACCUUCACCUGUAGCAUAGGACCGUUCUUCCUCAAGGUAUACGAGUAGCUGUGAUCCCCUGCCUGAACCUCCAAACAAGCUCUCAGGUAUUUGUUAAUAUGUGUAAGGCUAAGCACCACGCUCCCCUUUGGGGAGUCCA
rnacentral:snRNA from 1 species